rnacentral:rRNA from 1 species
UACGGAGGGUGCAAGCGUUUAUCCGGAUUUACUGGGUUUAAAGGGUGCGUAGGUGGACAAUUAAGUCAGUGGUGAAAUCUCCGGGCUUAACCCGGAAACUGCCAUUGAUACUACUUGUCUUGAAUACUUUGGAGGUAAGCGGAAUAUGUCAUGUAGCGGUGAAAUGCUUAGAUAUGACAUAGAACACCAAAUGCGAAGGCAGCUUACUACACAGUAAUUGACACUGAGGCACGGAAAGCGUGGGAUCAAACAGG